rnacentral:tRNA from 1 species
AGCAAUGUGGCUUAGUAAAUAGAGCACAGGCCUGGGAGUCAGAAGGAUCUGGGUUCUAAUCCCAGCUCUGCCA